GAAUAGGGGAGCCGGAGGGAAACCGAGUCUUAAUUGGGCGUUAAGUUGCAGGGUAUAGACCCGAAACCCGGUGAUCUAGCCAUGGGCAGGUUGAAGGUUGGGUAACACUAACUGGAGGACCGAACCGACUAAUGUUGAAAAAUUAGCGGAUGACCUGUGGCUGGGGGUGAAAGGCCAAUCAAACCGGGAGAUAGCUGGUUCUCCCCGAAAGCUAUUUAGGUAGCGCCUCGUGAAUUCAUCUCCGGGGGUAGAGCACUGUUUCGGCUAGGGGGCCAUCCCGGCUUACCAACCCGAUGCAAACUGCGAAUACCGGAGAAUGUUAUCACGGGAGACACACGGCGGGUGCUAACGUCCGUCGUGAAGAGGGAAACAACCCAGACCGCCAGCUAAGGUCCCAAAGUCAUGGUUAAGUGGGAAACGAUGUGGGAAGGCCCAGACAGCCAGGAUGUUGGCUUAGAAGCAGCCAUCAUUUAAAGAAAGCGUAAUAGCUCACUGGUCGAGUCGGCCUGCGCGGAAGAUGUAACGGGGCUAAACCAUGCACCGAAGCUGCGGCAGCGACGCUUAUGCGUUGUUGGGUAGGGGAGCGUUCUGUAAGCCUGUGAAGGUGGCCUGUGA
rnacentral:rRNA from 1 species